UACGAAGGGGGCUAGCGUUGCUCGGAAUCACUGGGCGUAAAGCGCACGUAGGCGGCUUGUUAAGUCAGGGGUGAAAUCCUGGAGCUCAACUCCAGAACUGCCUUUGAUACUGAUGAGCUUGAGUUCGGGAGAGGUGAGUGGAACUGAGAGUGUAGAGGUGAAAUUCGUAGAUAUUCGCAAGAACACCAGUGGCGAAGGCGGCUCACUGGCCCGAUACUGACGCUGAGGUGCGAAAGCGUGGGGAGCAAACAGG
rnacentral:rRNA from 1 species